rnacentral:rRNA from 1 species
UUCAUUAAUCAAGAACGAAAGUUAGGGGAUCGAAGAUGAUCAGAUACCGUCGUAGUCUUAACCAUAAACUAUGCCGACUAGGGAUCGGGUGGUGUUUUUUUAAUGACCCACUCGGCACCUUACGAGAAAUCAAAGUCUUUGGGUUCUGGGGGGAGUAUGAUCGCAAGGCUGAAACUUAAAGGAAUUGACGGAAGGGCACCACCAGGAGUGGAGCCUGCGGCUUAAUUUGACUCAACACGGGGAAACUCACCAGGUCCAGACACAAUAAGGAUUGACAGAUUGAGAGCUCUUUCUUGAUUUUGUGGGUGGUGGUGCAUGGCCGUUCUUAGUUGGUGGAGUGAUUUGUCUGCUUAAUUGCGAUAACGAACGAGACCUUAACCUACUAAAUAGUAGUGCUAGCAUUUGCUGGUUGUCUACUUCUUAGAGGGACUAUCGGUUUCAAGCCGAUGGAAGUUUGAGGCAAUAACAGGU